GACAGAGGUCCCGAGCGUUAGGCGGAAUCACUGGGCUUAAAGCGUGUGUAGGCGGAUGCCUAAGUACCUUGUGAAAUCCCACGGCUCAACCGUGGAACUGCUUGGUAUACUGGGUGUCUUGAGCCAGCUAGGGGCGACCGGAACAAAUGGUGGAGCGGUGAAAUGCGUAGAUAUCAUUUGGAACGCCGAUGGUGAAAACAGGUCGCUGGGGCUGUGCUGACGCUGAGACACGAAAGCUAGGGGAGCAAACGGG
rnacentral:misc_RNA from 1 species